GGUGAACGCUGGCGGCGUGCUUAAGACAUGCAAGUCGAACGGCAGUCUUCGGACUGUAGUGGCGCACGGGUGAGUAACGCGUAACUGACCUACCCCAAAGUCGCGGAUAACGAUUCGAAAGAAUCGCUAAUACGUGAUGUGCUGCCAGAUUGUGUUCUGCCAGUAAAGAUUGAUUGCUUUGGGAUGGGGUUGCGUUCCAUCAGCUAGUUGGUGGGGUAAAGGCCCACCAAGGCGACGACGGAUAGCCGGCCUGAGAGGGUGGCCGGCCACAGGGGCACUGAGACACGGGUCCCACUCUUACGGGAGGCAGCAGUUAGGAAUCUUCCACAAUGGGCGAAAGCCUGAUGGAGCGACGCCGCGUGAGGGAUGAAGGUCUUCGGAUCGUAAACCUCUGAAUCAGGGACGAAAGACACUUCGGUGGGAUGACGGUACCUGAGUAAUAGCACCGGCUAACUCCGUGCCAGCCGCCGCCGUAAGAC
rnacentral:rRNA from 1 species